rnacentral:lncRNA from 1 species
CUUUUCUCAAGUGUUUAUCAUGUCUCCCCCUCAUGUUAGAAAAGCUAACUUGUUUCCUCAACUUUGAGAGCCCAUCUUUGUGCAUUAUGGUGUUAAUAAAAAUAUACACCGUACAUCAAUAAUAAGAUGGAGUUAUUUGGUUCCUGACCCUGAACCACUUGUGAGGGGAGAAUAUAACAUACUCUCGUAUAUCAAACUGAU